AAAAGGGCGUUUGGUGAAUGCCUUGGCAGUAAGAGGCGAUGAAAGACGUGAUACUCUGCGAUAAGCCAUGGGGAGCUGAGAAUAAGCUUUGAUCCAUGGAUUUCUGAAUGGGGCAACCCACCUGAUACUUUGUUAUUACUACCCUUCGGGGUAGCUAAUAAUGAGGUAAACCAGGUAUUUUUAGGCUGAAUAUAUAGGCUUAAAAAAGCAAACCCGGGGAACUGAAACAUCUAAGUACCCGGAGGAAAGGAAAUCAAUUGAUACUCCCCUAGUAGCGGCGAGCGAACGGGGACCAGCCGAGCCAUGAGUGUGGUUAGAAUGCGUUGGAAUGCGCAACCAGAGUGGGUGAUAGUCCCGUAUAAGAAGCAUGAUUGGACGUAUUAAGUAGGGCGGAACACGUGAAAUUCUGUCUGAAGAUCGGAGGACCACCUUCGAAGGCUAAGUACUCCUUACUGACCGAUAGUGAACCAGUACCGUGAGGGAAAGGUGAAAAGCACCCCGACGAGGGGAGUGAAACAGUACCUGAAACCGAACGCCUACAAUCAGUUGGAGGGGCUUUACGCCCUGACAGCGUACCUUUUGUAUAAUGGGUCAUCGACUUGGUCUCACAAGCAAGCUUAAGCCGUUAGGUGUAGGCGUAGCGAAAGCGAGUCUUAAUAGGGCGUUGAGUUUGUGGGAUCAGACCCGAAACCGAGUGAUCUAGGCAUGGCCAGGUUGAAGGUAAGGUAACACUUACUGGAGGACCGAACCCACAUCUGUUGAAAAAGAUCGGGAUGAGCUGUGCCUAGGGGUGAAAGGCCAAUCAAACUCGGAGAUAGCUGGUUCUCUGCGAAAUCUAUUUAGGUAGAGCGUCAUCCGAAUACCCUCGGGGGUAGAGCACUGGAUGGGUAAUGGGGCCCCACAGGCUUACUGAUCCUAACCAAACUCCGAAUACCGAGGAGUACUAGAUGGCAGACACACGGCGAAUGCUAACGUCCGUCGUGAAGAGGGAAACAACCCUGACCUCCAGCUAAGGCCCCUAAUUCAUGGCUAAGUGGGAAAGCAGGUGGGACGACCAAAACAACCAGGAGGUUGGCUUAGAAGCAGCCAUCCUUUAAAGAUAGCGUAACAGCUCACUGGUCUAAAUAAGUUGUCCUGCGGCGAAGAUGUAACGGGGCUCAAGCCAUGAGCCGAAGCUGAGGAUGCAUUUAUUGCAUGGUAGCAGAGCGUAGUGUGACAUAAUUCCAUGUCUCCUUAUCCACUUCGGUGGAAUUGGAGACGCGGAGUUUUCUGUGAAGCCGGCGCGUGAGCGAUCCGGUGGAGAGAUCACUAGUGAGAAUGAUGACAUGAGUAGCGACAAAGAGUGUGAGAAACACUCUCGCCGAAAGUCCAAGGGUUCCUGCUUAAAGCUAAUCUGAGCAGGGUAAGCCGACCCCUAAGGCGAGGCCGAAAGGCGUAGUCGAUGGGAACCAGGUUAAUAUUCCUGGGCCAGAUGGAAGUGACGGAUCUCGAGGGUAGUUCAUCCUUAUCGGAUUGAAUGGGCUGCUUAGAGGUUCCUGGAAAUAGCUCCAUCGCUAGAUCGUACCCUAAACCGACACAGGUGGACUGGUAGAGAAUACCAAGGCGCUUGAGAGAACUAUGUUGAAGGAACUCGGCAAAAUACCUCCGUAAGUUCGCGAGAAGGAGGCCCGGUUCCUAGGCAACUAGGGGCUGGGGGCACAAACCAGGGGGUGGCGACUGUUUAUUAAAAACACAGGGCUCUGCGAAGUCGUAAGACGACGUAUAGGGUCUGACGCCUGCCCGGUGCCUGAAGGUUAAAAGGAGGGGUGAGAGCUCUGAAUUGAAGCCCAGGUAAACGGCGGCCGUAACUAUAACGGUCCUAAGGUAGCGAAAUUCCUUGUCGGGUAAGUUCCGACCUGCACGAAUGGCGUAACGACUUCCCCGCUGUCUCCAACAUAGACUCAGCGAAAUUGAAUUACCUGUCAAGAUGCAGGUUUCCCGCGGUUAGACGGAAAGACCCCGUGCACCUUUACUACAGCUUCACACUGGCAUUAGGCCGAACAUGUGCAGGAUAGGUGGUGGGCUUUGAAACCGGAACGCCAGUUUCGGUGGAGCCUCCCUUGAGAUACCACCCUUGUUCUGCUUGAUGUCUAACCGCGGUCCGUUAUCCGGAUCCGGGACCCUGUGUGGCGGGUAGUUUGACUGGGGCGGUCGCCUCCUAAAUCGUAACGGAGGCGCGCGAAGGUUGGCUCAGAGCGGUCGGAAAUCGCUCGUUGAGUGCAAUGGCAGAAGCCAGCCUGACUGCGAGACUGACAAGUCGAGCAGAGUCGAAAGACGGCCAUAGUGAUCCGGUGGUCCCAAGUGGGAGGGCCAUCGCUCAACGGAUAAAAGGUACGCCGGGGAUAACAGGCUGAUACUGCCCAAGAGUCCAUAUCGACGGCAGUGUUUGGCACCUCGAUGUCGGCUCAUCUCAUCCUGGGGCUGGAGCAGGUCCCAAGGGUACGGCUGUUCGCCGUUUAAAGAGGUACGUGAGCUGGGUUUAGAACGUCGUGAGACAGUUCGGUCCCUAUCUUCCGUGGGUGUAGGAUACUUGAGAGGAGUUGCCCCUAGUACGAGAGGACCGGGGUGAACGAUCCACUGGUGGACCAGUUGUUAUGCCAAUAGCAGUGCUGGGUAGCUAUGAUCGGACAGGAUAACCGCUGAAGGCAUCUAAGCGGGAAGCCCCCCUCAAAACAAGGUAUCCCUGAGAGCCGAGGUAGACCACCUCGUCGAUAGGCCAGAGAUGUAAGCGUAGUAAUACGUUCAGUUGACUGGUACUAAUUGCUCGAUAGGCUUGAUU
rnacentral:rRNA from 1 species